UGAGUAACGCGUAGACAAUCUACCCUCCGGAUUGGAAUAACGACUCGAAAGGGUCGCUAAUACCGAAUACAUUCCCGACGCCGCAUGGCGGCGGGAAGAAAGAUGGCCUCUUCUUGAAAGCUAUCGCCAGAGGAUGGGUCUGCGAACCAUUAGCUAGUUGGUGAGGUAACGGCUCACCAAGGCUGCGAUGGUUAGCUGGUUUGAGAGGACGACCAGCCACAUUGGGACUGAGAUACGGCCCAGACUCCUACGGGAGGCAGCAGUGAGGAAUUUUCCGCAAUGGACGAAAGUCUGACGGAGCGACGCCGCGUGGGCGAGUAAGGUUUUCGGAUUGUAAAGCCCUGUCGCGAGGGACGAAAGCUUGUCGGCUAAUACCCCGCAAGUAUGACUGUACCUCGUAAGAAAGCGCCGGCCAACUACGUGCCAGCAGCCGCGGUAAUACGUAGGGCGCAAGCGUUAUCCGGAAUUACUGGGCGUAAAGAGCUCGUAGGCGGCUUGGUAAGCGCCAUGUGAAAGAUCAAGGCUCAACCUUGGGAACGCGUGGCGAACUGCUUAGCUGGAGAGUGGGAGAGGAAAGUGGAAUUCCAGGUGUAGCGGUGAAAUGCAUAGAUAUCUGGAAGAACACCAGUGGCGAAGGCGGCUUUCUGGACCAUUUCUGACGCUGAGGAGCGAAAGCUGGGGGAGCGAACGGGAUUAGAUACCCCGGUAGUCCUAGCCGUAAACGAUGAACACUGGGUGUGGGAGGUAUCGACCCCUUCCGUGCCGUAGCUAACGCGUUAAGUGUUCCGCCCGGGGAGUACGGCCGCAAGGUUAAAGCUCAAAGGAAUUGACGGGGGCCCGCACAAGCGGUGGAGCAUGUGGUUUAAUUCUAUGCAACGCGAAGAACCUUACCUAGGCUUGACAUCUGAGGAAUCCCGCGGAAACGUGGGAGUGCCCUUCGGGGAACUUCAAGACAGGUGCUGCAUGGCUGUCGUCAGCUCGUGCCGUGAGGUGUUGGAUUAAGUUCCGCAACGAGCGCAACCCUUGCCCUUAAUUGCCAUCAUUUAGUUGGGAACCUUAAGGGGACUGCCACAUUAUGUGUGGAGGAAGGUGGGGAUGACGUCAAGUCAGCAUGGCCUUUAUGCCUAGGGCUACACACGUGCUACAAUGGUCGGUACAACGGGUCGCUACAUCGCGAGAUGAUGCCAAUCCCUUAAAACCGGCCCAAGUUCGGAUCGGAGUCUGCAAUUCGACUCCGUGAAGCUGGAAUCGCUAGUAAACGCGGAUCAGAACGCCGCGUUGAAUACGUUCUCGGGCCUUGUACACACCGCCCGUCACACCACCCGAAUCUGGCGCACCCAAAGUCGUUGACCCAACCCCUCGGGGAGGGAGGCGCCUAAGGUGUACCCGGUGAGGAGGGUGAAGUCGUAACAAGGUA
rnacentral:rRNA from 1 species